GUAAAAUAGUCCCUCCAUUUGCCGGGAAUAUGACCCGCAGGCGGCACUCGAUGACGAUCAAGCAGAAGCAUGAGUCAUAAUGAAAGCAAAAAGAAGAUAUGACUCCAUGAGUGAGUCCAGUCCGGUGGAGAGACCACAGAGCAAUUUGAACAGUUCUGGACAUUAAAUCUUCCUUCUGUUGACACAGAAUAGCAUAUUCAUAGCCAUCUUGAUCCAUUACAGCCAUCACUUCUUGGGAUAAGCCCUCUAGGCUAAAGGUAUGUAUCCUAUUUAAUA